AUUGAACGCUGGCGGCAGGCCUAACACAUGCAAGUCGAACGAGUGGCGGACGGGUGAGUAAUGUCUGGGAAACUGCCUGAUGGAGGGGGAUAACUACUGGAAACGGUAGCUAAUACCGCAUACCAUCAGAUGUGCCCAGAUGGGAUUAGCUUGUUGGUGGGGUAACGGCUCACCAAGGCGACGAUCCCUAGCUGGUCUGAGAGGAUGACCAGCCACACUGGAACUGAGACACGGUCCAGACUCCUACGGGAGGCAGCAGUGGGGAAUAUUGCACAAUGGGCGCAAGCCUGAUGCAGCAAUGCCGCGUGUAUGAUGAAGGCCUUCGGGUUGUAAAGUACUGUCAGCAGGGAGGCGUUACCCGCAGAAGAAGCCCCGGCUAACUCCGUGCCAGCAGCCGCGGUAAUUC
rnacentral:rRNA from 1 species